UAACAACCCAAGCCCAAUAACCCUAAAACCUUAGAAAAAAGCUUAAAAAACAAUCCUAGACCUAAAAAUAGGGAUCAACCGUUAGAGAGAAUACACAAGAGCUUCCGCUCAUCUUCUUCAACAGACCUUAGCCAUUUCCCUCAUCUGAUUUUGCUUCUUCUUCACUCUGAAUACACGCGCACACACAAAAACCAACGAUACCCUUUAAGACUUUUCAGCCCGUGAACACAGAGAACCCUCCCCCCCAUUUUGGAUGUCGGAGUGACGGAGAAACAAGGUCACGAAACAGAAGGAUUUUUGAAGAAACCAUUCAUCUUAUCUUCAUCAUGGCAGCUACUUUGUCACCUUGAGGAUCGCCUCUUUCACUUCUUCAAUUGUUUUUUUUCUUUAACCCAUAAAACCUUUAAGAUUUUCCAUCCACAACCGUGUAAAAACUAGCCACAAAACACUUUUCUGAUACCAUUUCAGAUCAAGAGUUCAACGAGCUUAAAGUUUCAGAUUUCCGAAUCUGAGUCGAGUUCAAAUUUCGGAUCUCGCCAAUUAUUUGAUUUUCCGAUGAAGUUCAAUCCGUCGAUGCUGUUCUAGAUGGUGAGGACACGUGCGGCCGGAUCAACCAGACGGCCACCAAUACCACGAGUUAGGCUGCGAUAGGGGCCAAGGUACAACUUGUACUACAUCCAGAACAGCACAUGUGGAGCCACCAGUUGCUCUAACUGAGGAUCAGACACCAGAUGUUGUUGAGCUGGUGGUACUAAGUCAGGCACCAAUAGUGCCCAUCGUUAUUUCUGGCCUUUAAGAGGCCUUAUCCUAGAUUUUGACUAUAUGUACGAGCCUGGCUCAGGCGGUUUCGGUUCUAGCUACACUAGCCACUUCAUAGGCUGGGGGAGGUGGCCAAACUCGGUUGCCCUUACACCAAAGCGGCUAGCCCAGGGUCACCAGACAUCGGGUGUAUUGCCAGUUUAGCCGGUUGUCGCUGCUUGGGCCGAGGUUGGUCUACUUGUGAGUGAUGAGGAUAAGAAGAGAUUAGAGUGGUUUUGAAAGCUUAAGCCCCCAGAGUUUAGUGUGGUAGAGUCAGAGGAUGUGUAGGAUUUUCUAGAUAAGUUUCAGCAGAUCAACAAGUAUUUUAGAUACAAGUGAGGUUGCAUUUACUACUUUUUAGCUUACAGGGGGUAGCUUAUAGAUGAUGGCAAACUAAUGAGUUAAGCAGACAAUCCGAUGCAGUGCCACUCA